rnacentral:miRNA from 1 species
UGAAUGUAAGCUGCCUAGGAACU